rnacentral:rRNA from 1 species
GGCUCAGGAUGAACGCUAGCGGCAGGCUUAAUACAUGCAAGUCGUGGGGCAGCAUGAGUAGCAAUACUUGAUGGCGACCGGCAAACGGGUGAGGAACACGUACACAACCUUCCUUCAAGCGGGGGAUAGCCCAGAGAAAUUUGGAUUAAUACCCCAUAAUAUAUUUGAUAAGGCAUCUUAUUAAUAUUAAAGCUUCGGCACUUGAUGAUGGGUGUGCGGCUGAUUAGAUAGUUGGCGGGGUAACGGCCCACCAAGUCUACGAUCAGUAGCUGAUGUGAGAGCAUGAUCAGCCACACGGGCACUGAGACACGGGCCCGACUCCUACGGGAGGCAGCAGUAAGGAAUAUUGGACAAUGGACGAAAGUCUGAUCCAGCCAUGCCGCGUGAAGGAUUAAGGUCCUCUGGAUUGUAAACUUCUUUUAUAUGGGACGAAAAAAGGGCAUUCUUGUUCACUUGACGGUACCAUAUGAAUAAGCACCGGCUAACUCCGUG